AUCAUGAAGAUGAAGACCAGCAUGAUGAAGAUGUAGACUAGCAUGAUGAAGAUGUAGACCAGCAUGAUGAAGAUGUAGACCAACAUGAUGAAAAGGUAGACAUGUACAUGUAGACCAACAUGAAGAUGUAGACCAACAUGAAGAUGUAGACCAACAUGACAACAUGAAGAUGUAGACCAACAUGAAGAUGUAGACCAACAUGAAGAUGUAGACCAACAUGAAGAUGUAGACCAACAUGAAGAUGUAGACCAGCAUGAUGAAGAUGUAGACCAACAUGAAGAUGAAAUGUAAACCAAAAUAUUUAUCAAGAGAUGUAUGGAAUAAAAAGUGAACAUCUUGAGAGGGAAAACAAUUCCUAGAGGCAAAGACACAGACACAUUAGAUACAUUAGAGAUUGUUUCCUUUUCUACCAUCAUUUAGAGCCUUUUUUGUGAGGGAACCUGCGUCUUUAAAGAAAUGAACAUUUCCCUAAUGCUACUUCAAAUUCAGAUCUCCUCCCAACCUCAGGCUGAGUACCCAUGGUCACCUACUUUAUGUUACAUUAACAUAGCACUACAGACAGUGGAAAACAAAUUAUAUGAAGGAAUGUAACCACCAUCAGAUAUUGUUGUCUUUACAGACUCCCAAUCUACUCUGCAAGAACUUAACAGCAGCACCUCAAACAGCCCAAGAGAGUUGACAACACUCAUUGUGAUAAUCCAUCAGAUGAUAUCAAAAUUAAAUAUCAAUAUCACACUACAGUGGAUCCCUGGACACAUUGUCAUCAUGGGAAAUGAAAAGGCAGAUAAGCUAUCAAAGGCAGGUUCAUCUAUGGAACAACCAGAUAGACCUGUUAACUACCUCACCCUAAGGUCAAUGUUAGUCAACAAUCACAAAGAGGAGUGGCUCAACCAAUGGGCAUCAGGAAACACAGGCAGAGCCAUGUACAAAGAAAUGACUACGCCUAACAAACUGGACAGUAUUAACUUCCUCCCCUGCAAAGAACAAUCUACAACGUUCCAACUAAGAACAGGACACACUCCACUAUUAAAUUACCACCUGAACAAAAUAAACUCCACACAACUCCUCUUUUGCAGACACUGCACCCACCCCUUUGAAGCCGUAAACCAUAUCCUCUUUGAAUGCCCCUCCCUAAUCCACCUUAGGCAGACCCUACUUCCACUACAGCCCAACAUAACCAACACCGUGCACGGCAGUGCUGAACAACUGAAGAAAACAGCACACUUUUUUCCUUGGCACAGUCUGCAAAAGAGCUCACAGCUCAGCAGCAAUAAAGCUGGCUAGAAGAAGAAGAAGAAAAAGAGGUUACAUUACAAGAAGUGGUCGCAAAGUCAGAAAACCUAACAGAUGACAAUGAAUAGAACAAUCAUUUCUAAUAUAGGUACAAGUGAUGUACUUUGUAAUAACUAUUUGGGUGCAAUCACUAUAAUUGACUUGUAUCUUGUUCUAUAUUUAGGUAAAUCUUGUCAUUCAGUCCAGUCAUUGUUCUUUUUCAUAUUCCUUUUUUUCCCCUCAAUCUUCUUGUUGUUUCAGUGAAAUGUUUUUAUCUUUUUUGUUUUGGAGGAGGGAGUGGCUGUGGUAUAUUAUCAUUAUUAUUAUUGGAGUCACAACACCAAAGCCUUGCUACAUUAUGCUUUUAAUUCAAUUUAUUAUCUCCCCUGCUUUUGUGUGCUAUCAUAUUAAUGUUCAUUAGUGUCACAUCCAUGCACAAUUUGUUCUAUGCUUUUUAUAGUGUAAAUAGUGACUUGACAUUAUUUAGAUCAAUUAUAAUAUGUUAUAUUAUAUUUAACAUAAAACUGUUAACAUUUUCUAUACUAUUAUUAAUAUGAAUGUGUUUGUGUGUUGCUAUGAAUGCAUUUUAAGUUUUAGUCUGAAAUCAUAAAUAAGAAAUUGUUUCAUAAACAAAGAUUAUAUUAAUAUUUAAUAUUGUCAGACUUCACUAUAGCAUUGAGUUCAUCCCCAUAGUCUAUUUAAAACUUUCAAAUACUAAUUCACUUUGUCUUAUCUAAUGGUGAUCAUGGGGGUAUCCACUAUCCAUAGUCUCUGGUAUGAACACUCAGUCCUGGUUAGGGCUAGGAUGUAAUCUCUAUUUCUGAUGGAACACAUGUAAAACCAAGAAAACAAACAGUAGACCUAGACUUUAUUAACAGGUCAUGCAAGCAUUUUUUUAUAAUUGUGAACUGACGCUCUAGAGCUAUUUUUAUGUAUUUUUAUUUUUGCUUCUUUUGUAGACUAGUGCUAAGCUGUAUGCUUCUAUUUCCGCCUAUUAUUAUAUGGGUUAGGGCGAUGCUGUUUCCUGUACUGUUGACCACAGUGUGUCAGUUUUAAUUAUUCUGUACUUUGAACUGCCUUUAAGUUUCAGAAUUUGUUUUUUUUUUCUAUAUGUAAAGCUACUUUAUAUAUAUAGUUAUAUAUUAUGGUACAUUAUUUUUCUAAUUGAAACAACUGUCAAAAUAAUUGGCGGUUUUUUGUUUUAAAGUUUGUUUUAAAAUGAUGGCCACUUCUAAUGUUUAUGUACUAGAUCUUUUCCAAAUUUUUUUGUUUUUUUAUCUGCAGUGUUUUGUAACUGCUGCUUUGCUCAUUUGAAUUAAAGUAUCAUUUUGUUA